rnacentral:rRNA from 1 species
AACGAACGCUGGCGGCAUGCCUAACACAUGCAAGUCGAACGAAGCCUUCGGGCUUAGUGGCGCACGGGUGCGUAACGCGUGGGAAUCUGCCCUUGGGUUCGGAAUAACAGUUAGAAAUGACUGCUAAUACCGAAUGAUGUCUUCGGACCAAAGAUUUAUCGCCCAAGGAUGAGCCCGCGUCGGAUUAGCUAGUUGGUGAGGUAAAGGCUCACCAAGGCGACGAUCCGUAGCUGGUCUGAGAGGAUGAUCAGCCACACUGGGACUGAGACACGGCCCAGACUCCUACAGGAGGCAGCAGUGGGGAAUAUUGGACAAUGGGCGGAAAGACCUCGAUCCACGCAAUAGCCGCGUGAGUGAUGAA